GGGUCGUUAGCUCAGUUGGUAGAGCAGUUGGCUUUUAACCAAUUGGUCGAAGGUUCGAGUCCUUCACGACCCA
rfam:Ferrimonas balearica DSM 9799, complete genome.